rnacentral:ribozyme from 12 species
AAAAAAAAAAAAAAAAAAAAAAAAAAAAAAAAAAAAAAAAAGGAAGUUAUUUAUCUAAUCUAUUUUU